GCGAGCCGGUGGGCGGCUUUCAAGCCCUAUAAACCCUAUUUCACGCUUUAUAUUAGGGAGUAGGGCUUGGGGAAACUCCACCCACAUUGCGGAAGCGCAUGCUUGCAAGAGCUAGGGCGAGAGCCCUAAAGCCGAGAGCAGAAACGAAACUUUGAAUCAUUAAGCGAUGAAACGGAAACGUUGAGCUGUGAUCGAUUCAAGGGUGAAACGGCUCGGCUGCGCUGUGAAAGGGGAAAUAGGCGCCUAUGAGGUCCGCAGGAGGCGUGGGUACCCCGAUUAGAUAAAUGCCGCUUAAAACAGAAGGUGGGUUACGGCCGGCACGC
rnacentral:RNase_P_RNA from 1 species